rnacentral:lncRNA from 1 species
AACACAAGACAUUUAAAAAAGAAGGUGCAUAAUUUUCUGAGACCAGCCUUCAAGUCAAUCAUCAUUCUUAUGUAAGGAAGUUUGCUUGGUCUCUGAGUGCAACCUGCCCUUUUUUUCUUGCUGAAAGAGGCUCAUGCUUGUUUUUGUAACCAUCAUGCUUAACGACUCGAUGAAGCUAUCCACGCAAACAUAAGUGCGAUUUCGCAAUUUCCAAAUGAACCAGAAAGCUUGCAUGAACUUGAUGCCAUCAGUUCAUAU